CGACCAGCCACACUGGGACUGAGACACGGCCCAGACUCCUACGGGAGGCAGCAGUGGGGAAUCUUGGACGAUGGAGGAAACUCUGAUCCAGCCAUGCCGCGUGAGUGAUGAAGGCCUUCGGGUUGUAAAACUCUUUUACCAGGGAAGAUAAUGACUGUACCUGGAGAAUAAGCCCCGGCUAACUUCGUGCCAGCAGCCGCGGUAAUACGAAGGGGGCUAGCGUUGUUCGGAAUUACUGGGCGUAAAGCGCGCGCAGGCGGUUCUUCAAGUCAGGGGUGAAAGCCCAGAGCUCAACUCUGGAAUUGCCUUUGAAACUGUAGAACUUGAGUACGAGAGAGGUGAGUGGAAUUCCCAGUGUAGAGGUGAAAUUCGUAGAUAUUGGGAAGAACACCGGUGGCGAAGGCGGCUCACUGGCUCGUUACUGACGCUCAGGCGCGACAGCGUGGGGAUCAAACAGGAUUAGAUACCCUGGUAGUCCACGCCGUAAACUAUGAACGCUAGCCGUUAGGCAGCUUGCUGCUUAGUGGCGCA
rnacentral:rRNA from 1 species